rnacentral:rRNA from 1 species
CCUACGGGAGGCUACAGUUAAGAAUAUUCCACAAUGCACGAAAGUGUGAUGGAGCGACGCCGCGUGAAUGAUGAAGCCCUUCGGGGUGUAAAGUUCUUUUAUUAAGGAAAAAUUUUUGAUGUUACUUAAUGAAUAAGGGGCUGCUAACUUCGUGCCAGCAGCAGCGGUAAUACGAAGGCCCCGAGCGUUAUCCGGAUUUACUGGGUGUAAAACGUCUGUAGAUGGUUUGAAAAGUUAAAUGUAAAAUCUUUUAGCUUAACUAAAAACUUGCAUUUAAUACUAUCAUAACUAGAGGGCGGGGGAAGUAAGCGGAAUUCCCGGUGUAGUUGUAAUAAGCGUUAAUAUCGGGAAGAACACCAAAAGCGAAGGCAGCUUACUAAAACGCUCCUGACAUUGAGAGACGAAAGCGUGGGUAGCGAUAC